rnacentral:rRNA from 1 species
GGCGGCAUGCCUAACACAUGCAAGUCGAACGGUAACAGGUCUUCGGAUGCUGACGAGUGGCGGACGGGUGAGUAACGCGUAGGAAUCUGUCUUUGAGUGGGGGACAACCCAGGGAAACUUGGGCUAAUACCGCAUAAGCCCUGAGGGGGAAAGCGGGGGAUCUUCGGACCUCGCGCUGGAAGAGGAGCCUACGUCUGAUUAGCUAGUUGGUAGGGUAAAGGCCUACCAAGGCGACGAUCGGUAGCUGGUCUGAGAGGACGACCAGCCACACUGGGACUGAGACACGGCCCAGACUCCUACGGGAGGCAGCA